UUUUGCUCUUCACUGUAUCUCCAGAGUCUAGGAGAUUUUGAUCCACUGGACACCUCAAAACAUAUG
rnacentral:lncRNA from 1 species